rnacentral:lncRNA from 1 species
AGGACUGUACUCGCCACACACAUAUUAUUCACCCUUGCAGAAUAGACCUUUGACUACGGGAAACAAAUCUCAAACCCAGAUUCCAUUUUAUACCUGCAACAGACAUCUUUUGCUUAAGAAAGAGAAGUGAUACCUGCUUACAGUAUUAUGAACACAUUAAGAUACAAAAGUGAUACCUGCUCACAAUAUUAUCUACACAUUUUCAUCACAUUAAUAUACAUAAUUAAUACAUACAAACACAAUUUUUA